rnacentral:rRNA from 1 species
UACGAAGGGUGCAAGCGUUACUCGGAAUUACUGGGCGUAAAGCGUGCGUAGGUGGUUUUUUAAGUCCGUUGUGAAAGCCCUGGGCUCAACCUGGGAAUGGCAGUGGAUACUGGAAAGCUAGAGUGCGGUAGAGGGUAGUGGAAUUCCCGGUGUAGCAGUGAAAUGCGUAGAGAUCGGGAGGAACACCAGUGGCGAAGGCAGCCCCCUGGGUCAACACUGACGCUCAUGCACGAAAGCGUGGGUAGCAAACAGGG